UACGUAGGGUGCGAGCGUUAAUCGGAAUUACUGGGCGUAAAGCGUGCGUAGGCGGUUCGUUAAGUCAGCUGUGAAAGCCCCGGGCUCAACCUGGGAACUGCGGUUGAAACUGGCGAACUAGAAUCUGGCAGAGGGGGGUGGAAUUCCACGUGUAGCAGUGAAAUGCGUAGAGAUGUGGAGGAACAUCGAUGGCGAAGGCAGCCCCCUGGGCUGAGAUUGACGCUCAGGCACGAAAGCGUGGGGAGCAAACAGG
rnacentral:rRNA from 1 species